AUCCAUUAGAGGUUUGGUGUUCGUACUGAAUACAUUCCAAAAAAUUAAGAGAAAAUAGAUGAGAUCCAGAAAAGAAUCAUUUGCCACUCCAGGCAAGUAUACAUAGAUCUCAGAUUAGUUUUGAGCAUCUCUCUCCCUUGGGUCAUACUUUGUUUUCUAGACAAAAACCUGGAGCCAACAAUAAUCCUUUUCUUUUUUUCUUCCUCAACUCAUUUGUUCUUCCUCAACUAAUUUUGAAAAUAAGCUUAUUUCGCACUCCAGGUUCUUCAGUGGACCAAGAUACGUCUCACUCCAAAACAUUUCUGUGUUUUCUAGUUCACCCAGUGAAGAAAUAAAAUAUAGAAUAAUAAUCUCCCUUUUCUUCUUACUUGCACAUGUUUCACUUAGGAUGAUAUCAAUUUAGUUAAUUCCUUCUGGUUCUCCACAAAUGUAUUAUUCUAAGAGAUCAACAAGGCCUGGAUUUCCAUUUGUCUGGAUCCUGUUGGCUUUUGACCUAUUCUUUUGGCACAUUUAAAAUUCCUUGGAUAACAGCCCGAAAUCUUUUGGCUGUUCUAACACACUCCAGUACAGUCCAUAACAUGUUGCUUAAGCCACUACAGGGUGUGAACCCCAGUGAUCACUUUAGGGUUGUCAAGUGAAUG